rnacentral:rRNA from 1 species
UACGAAGGGGGCUAGCGUUGUUCGGAAUUACUGGGCGUAAAGGGCUCGUAGGUGGCCAACUAAGUCAGACGUGAAAUCCCCAGGCUCAACUUGGGAACUGCGUCUGAUACUGGAUGGCUUGAGUUUGGGAGAGGGAUGCGGAAUUCCAGGUGUAGCGGUGAAAUGCGUAGAUAUCUGGAGGAACACCGGUGGCGAAGGCGGCAUCCUGGACCAACACUGACGCUGAGUGAGCGAAAGCCAGGGGAGCAAACGGG